UGUAAGCGUAUACCAAAGUUGUUGCAGUUAAAACGCUCGUAGUCGGAAUUUGGCAGUUCCGGAUGUGUGCACGUCGUGUGCGCACUUCGCGGGGAUUGCUUUUGUGGUCUUGCGUAGGAUGAGGCACUUUUAUUAGUGAACGUCCUCACGCAGCCACUUUUUACUGUGAGAAAAUCAGAGUGCUCAAAGCAGGCAUUUGCCGUGAAUGUAUUAGCAUGGAAUAAUAGAAUAGGACUCGGUUCUAUUUUGUUGGUUUGUUGGGACUGAGUAAUGAUUAAGAGGGACAGUUGGGGGCAUUUGUAUUUCGGCGCUAGAGGUGAAAUUCUUAGAUUGCCGAAAGACAAACUGCUGCGAAAGCGUCUGCCAAGGAUGUUUUCAUUGA
rnacentral:rRNA from 1 species